rnacentral:rRNA from 1 species
GACGAACGCUGGCGGCGUGCUUAACACAUGCAAGUCGAGCGGUAAGGCCCUUUCGGGGGUACACGAGCGGCGAACGGGUGAGUAACACGUGGGUGACCUGCCCUCAGCUCUGGGAUAAGCCUGGGAAACUGGGUCUAAUACCGGAUAUGACUCCAUGACGCAUGUUGUGGGGUGGAAAGCCUUGUGCGGCUGGGGAUGGGCCCGCGGCCUAUCAGCUUGUUGGUGGGGUGAUGGCCUACCAAGGCGACGACGGGUAGCCGGCCUGAGAGGGCGACCGGCCACACUGGGACUGAGACACGGCCCAGACUCCUGCGGGAGGCAGCAGUGGGGAAUCUUGCGCAAUGGGCGAAAGCCUGACGCAGCGACGCCGCGUGAGGGAUGACGGCCUCGG